UACGUAGGGUGCAAGCGUUAUCCGGAUUCAUUGGGUUUAAAGGGAGCGUAGGCGGACUUGUAAGUCAGUGGUGAAAUCUGUGGGCUUAACCCACAAACUGCCAUUGAUACUGCAGGUCUAGAGUACAGUUGCCGUUGGCGGAAUAUGACAUGUAGUGGUGAAAUACUUAGAUAUGUCAAUAGAACACCGAUGCGAAGGCAGCUAACGAAGCUGUAACUGACGCU
rnacentral:rRNA from 1 species